GUUUGGAUGGAGCUUCAUGGUUGUCUUUUGGAGAAAUGAGCAGUCAAGUUGUGUUUGAAAUUUGAUUUUUUUCAGGGGCAAAAGGAGCCUCUGCAUUCUUGUCAAAUAUGUAAAUAGCAUGUUUUUGCAGGUGCUAAAAAAAGACUCUGAGUGAGUGUGUGUGUGUGUGUGUGUGUGUGUGUGUGUGUGUGUGUGUGUGUGUGUGUGUGUGUGUGUGUGUGUGUGUGUGUGUGUGUGUAUCCUGCAGUACUCUGAGAAGAAUAAGCAUAUUUCUGAGGUGAAUUUUGAAGAUUCAUCUGAGAGUCAGGAGGGCUGAUCAUUCCCUUACCCUUUCGAUGUCUGUCUAUGUCUGUUUUUGUGUAAUAAUGAAAGAAUCCCAACACAAAAAGGCUCUGUUGAUGUUUUUUUUUGUUGUUCAUUCAUAUUCAAACCACUAUUUUAUAUCACUGCUAAUACGCCAAGACCAUUUUAUGGUAUUUAGCUUUAUUAUUUCUAUGCAUUUUGCAAGGACAGAAACCAAGGCCUUCACUAAAAUUUCCAUAAACUUUAGGAAAGGACCUCUGGUUGUUUAAGGGGGUCAUUACUGCAAAAACAUAUUCUUCCUAAAUUUUGAAGGUCAAACCUUAGAUCCAUUAGGUUUAAAUAGAAAAAGCAUUAAAAUAUGUUAGGAUUAUAGCAUAUGACAAAUGUGUGCCUCUCAAUGGCCAUAAGUACUUUGUCUGCUGGCUCUGCAGUCGAUUGACGCUCCCCAGCGUUCAAGUCACAUGACAUAUUUAACCGGAUGUAGCUGCAAGAUGGAGCCUCGUUGACUCUCCGUUUCAACUUAUCUCCAAAGUGAGGACCUUAAACUAUAUACCAGUUUUUAAAUUGUGUUGAUAGGCCAAAUAAAACCAGAGUUAUGAUAAAUUAUGUCUGCGAUACUUUUUUUCUGCUUAUUUUGAUCACGUUCGGCGCUCGAUCGCGCUGUAUGAGACAGGAAAACAUAGCAUGCAGACAUUAGCGACAGGUCUUACAGGCGGAAAAGGCUUGCCAAAAGAAAAAAAAAACACACCACAACAUCUCUCCUAUUGGUGGAAAACUUCACCACAACAACCAAUCCAAAAUUAUAUGGUGACUGAUUGACAAGGGGCGGGCGCUUACGGUCUUCCUGCAACAUGAGAAGGGAGGGAGGGACUCUCAGCAGGGAUGCAGUCUGGGACACGUAGUUGCAAACCUAGCGACUUUGUUGUUAGAUUCAAUGACUUUUCAGACCACCUAACGCCUUUUUUUUUUUAGAAAGAAAGGGACUUUUAUCGACUUCUUCUGGAGUUUAGAGACUCAGGCAUGAAGCAGGCUUUCCUUACUGAGGAGUUAGCAACGCUGCUAAUGGUGCAGAGCCACACAUGUGCUCCGAGCUCUGCAUGAAGCUGACAGAUCUGCAGCAGUUAGCAGGUUUCACCCUCAGAGACCACCAGGGGUUCAUGUUGAGGCAUUUUCAGUUUUGUUUUUUUUUUGCCAUAGACACUGUCAGCACAAUCUGCAGUUACACUAACAAAAAUGCUGCAAAAAACAAAGAAUUAUGGAAAAAUUACACAUGGACUAACAUAGAGGAGGAUCUACACAAGUUUUUUACAUCAUGUUUUACAUCAUGCAUCAUUUACAUCAUGAUUUUUUGUAGUGGCUUAAAUAUAAGUGACAUUUGUGAGACUAUACAGUGUUUUGUAAAUAAUUUUACAAAGAACGCCUGGGCCAUUGCCUGCAUUUUGAUGUAAAUAGAGGUAAAUUACUAUGUUCUUUGUUAAAAAUUUGCAUAUGUUUUGAAGUUUACAAUUUUUAUUUGAAGUUUAAGUUUUAAAAACAGUUCAUCACACAUAUUUGUGGUUUUCACAGUUAAAAUGUUACUUUUUUCCACUCGGAAUUUAUGUUUUGUGUGUGAAUUUGGGUCCAUUGUGUAAAUACAGUAUGUCAAAAUGAUAAAAUAACUGUAAAUUCACACAGGUGAGGUUGUGCUGAAAAAAAUGAUACCAGGCAAGGCAAGGUAAAAAAAAUUUAAGAGGAAAUAUAAAGGUAAAAUCAAAAGUAGUCAAAAACGGCCAAUAGUGACUCCCAGACUCAAUAGACAAGUCCCUUUGGCGCCACUCAGUGGGCAAAACUACUUUGUCUGCUGUAAUGUAUAUUUGGGUCAUCUUUGGCGCCCCCUAGAACGUAAACCGUGGGGUGCAGCGUCAUGAUUUUUACAACUUUGAAUGGCCAUGGGUUGUAGAUUGGCCUGAGCAAAUUUGGUGUCAGUGGGACGAAAGCUGUAGGACGAGUUAGCCACAUUCCAAUGUGUGCGAAUCAGCAAAAAAUGCAAAAUAGCCCUUUAACCGUACAUUUUACAGAUACGUGCGCAUUGACUUUUUCGUAGAUCUUAUUGAGAUACAUGUGUGUGUCAAUUUUUGUGUCAAUAUGGCAAAGCGUACAGGCGUGACAGUCAACAAUGUGUAUUUUCACCUUAGGGGGCGCUAUGGAGCCAUUUUGCAUUUUAUUCUUUGGGCGACUUCAGAAUAUCGAAUUUUUCACCAGGCCCGGUCGUCCUGCCAAAUUUCAUGAGUUUUCGCCAGUGGGAAGUGGGCCAUUUUCCAGUUUAAAGCGGAGGAAAAAUAAUAAUAAUAACUAGGGCCCCGUUGGGGCACUGGCGGGCCCGAGCCGUGUCGCGCUGCCCCCCCCAACGCGCUGCCUCCCCGUCCCAUUCGCGUCCUCUGGCCAUCGCCCUCUCUGGUAACGCCCCUCACUGCAAAGACCCUUUCCUUCAUCGGCGUUUGCUGUUCUUCCUGCCAGUGCGUGUUGCUUUCACUUACACUUGCCACAGCCAGCCUCGUGAGUGCCUAGCCUAUUGGAUAUCAAUGUCAUCUACACAGGACAGUCAUAACCUUUCUAUUAAUACUUUGUUUUUUAAUUUCACAUUUAUUUCCAUAUUGUAUAAAUGACUGGAAAAAACUUGAGCCCCUGCCCCUGUAUAAUCAUGUGCACGUCCCUGUUCUAGCUCCAAGGUGAAUCUUGACUGCUCAUGUUCUCCUCAGAAGCAGUCACCUCACUCCCCUCAGGUUACUGUACACAUGCACCAACUACCUGCGUCAGGUUUGGAUGGAGCUUCAUGGUUGUCUUUUGGAGAAAUGAGCAGUCAAGUUGUGUUUGAAAUUUCAUUUUUUUCAGGGGCAAAAGGAAGUCUCUGCAUUGUUGUCAAAUAUGUAAAUAGCAUGUUUUUGCAGGUGCUGAAAAACAGACUCUGAGUGUGUAUGUGUGUGUGUGUGUGUGUGUGUGUGUGUGUGUGUGUGUGUGUGUGUGUGUGCGUGUGUGUGUGUGUGUCUGUGUGUGUGUGUGUCUGUGUGUGUGUAUCCUGCAGUACUCUGUACUCCUGCAGUGGCCAAAACGACUUUUAAGAAUGUGGAUAUUUGGGUCAUCUUUGGCGCCCCCUAGAACGUAAACCAUGGGGUGCAGCGGCAUGAUUUUUACAACUUUGAAUGGCCAUGGGGUGUAGAUUGGCCUGAGCAAAUUUGGUGUCAGUGGGACGAAAGCCUUAGGAGGAGUUAGCCACAUUCCAAUGUGUGCGAAUCGGCAAAAAAUGCGAAAUAGCCCUUUAACCGUACAUUUUACAGAUAUGCGCGCAUUGACUUUUUCGUAGAUCUUAUUGAGAUACACGUGUGUGUCAAAUUUUUUGUCAAUAUGACAAAGCGUACAGGCGUGAAUCUCAACAAUGUGUAUUUUCACCUUAGGGGACAAGAAAAAAUUGACUUUUUUGUCCUGCCAUGGGGGGGCGCUCUUUUGGGGAGUAAAAAUUCCUUCACAAAUGUGUUGAUGGCUGGACAUUGCAUCAUCCUAGAAAACUUGGAGGCCAGUGAGGACAAAAAUAAAAAGUUAUAAAACUUUUAAGAAUGUGGAUUUUUGGGUUAUUUUUGGCGCCCCCUAGAACCUAAACCAUGGGGUGCAGCAUCAUGAUUUGUACAACUUUGAAUGGCCAUGGAGUGUAGAUUGGCCUGAGCAAAUGUGGUGCCGGUGGAACGAAAGCCUUCGGAGGAGUUAGCGAAAUUCCAAUGUGUGCGGAUCGGCAAAAAAUGCGAAAUAACCCUUUAACCGUACAUUUGACAGAUAUGCCCGCACUGACUUUUUUGUAGAUCUUAUUGAGAUACAUGUGUGUGUCAAUUUUUGUGUCAAUAUGACAAAGCGUACAGGCGUGACAGUCAAUAGUGUGAAUUUUCACCUUAGGGGGCGCUAUGGAGCCAUUUUGCAUUUUAUUGUUUGGGUGACUUCAGAAUAUCGAAUUUUUCACCAGGCCCGGUCGUCCUGCCAAAUUUCAUGAGUUUUCGCCAGUGGGAAGUGGGCCAUUUUCCAGUUUAAAGCGGAGGAAAAAUAAUAACUAGGGCCCCGUUGGGGCACUGGCGGGCCCGAGCCUGUCGCGCCGCUCCCAGCGCGACCACCUACCCCUCCCGAUAGCGUCACACUAAAGGUCCAAAGAUGGUGUGCGCACUUGUCUGUGGUCAUUUACCAUUAUAAUAAUGGGAGGCGCAGUUUCUACCAAAACGCUCGCUGCAGACAAACUCCAUGUCCUUUUUGAAAAUAGUCUGGACCAUGAGUGAGGGCACAAACACAGCUAGUAUAUACCCAAAUGGCAAGGUGCUCCUCCUUUCGGUUUUGCCGAGAGAGCGAUGAAUUUGAGCCAUUGAGCGAUCGGCAGGAAAAACUUGACUUUUUCUCCUGCCAUGGGGGGGCGCUCUUUUGGGGAAAAAAAAUUCCUUCACAAAUGUGUUGAUGACUGAACAUUGCAUCAUCCUAGAAAACUUGGAGGCCAGUGAGGACAAAAAUAAAGUUAUAAGACUUUUAAAAAUGUGGAUAUUUGGGUCAUCUUUGGCGCCCCCUAGAACGUAAACCGUGGGAUGCAGCGUCAUGAUUUGUACAACUUUGAAUGGCCAUGGGGUGUAGAUUGGCCUGAGCAAAUUUGGUGUCAGUGGAACGAAAGCCUUAGGAGGAGUUAGCCACAUUCCAAUGUGUGCGAAUCGGCAAAAAAUGCGAAAUAGCCCUUUAACUGUACAUUUUACAGAUACGCGCACAUUGACUUUUUCGUAGAUCUUAUUGAGAUACACGUGAUUGUCAAAUUUUGUGUCAAUAUGACAAAGCGUACAGGCGUGACACUCAACAAUGUGUAUAUUCGCCUUAGGGGACAAGAAAAAAUGGACUUUUUUCUCCUGCCAUGGGGGGGCGCUCUUUUGGCGAGUAAAAAUUCCUUCACAAAUGUGUUAAUUGCUGGACAUUGCAUCAUCCUAGAGAACUUGGAGGCCAGUGAGGACAAAAAUAAAAAGUUAUAAGACUUUUAAGACUGUGGAUUUUUGGGUUAUCUUUGGCGCCCCCUAGAACGUAAACCGUGGGGUGCAGCGUCAUGAUUUGUACAACUUUUAAUGGCCAUGGGGUGUAGAUUGGCCUGAGCAAAUGUGGUGCCAGUGGAACGAAAGCCUUCGGAGGAGUUAGCGAAAUUCCAAUGUGUGCGGAUCGGCAAAAAAUGCGAAAUAACCCUUUAACCGUACAUUUGACAGAUACGCCCGCGCUGACUUUUUUGUAGAUCUUAUUGAGAUACAUGUGUGUGUCAAUUUUUGUGUCAAUAUGACAAAGCGUACAGGCGUCAGGUGAGUUUUCACCAUAGGGGGCGCUAUGGAGCCAUUUUUCAUUUUUUUGUUUGGGCGACUUCAGAAUAUCGAAUUUUUCACCAGGCCCGGUCGUCCUGCCAAAUUUCCUGAGUUUUCGCCAGUGGGAAGUGGGCCAUUUUCCAGUUUAAAGCGGAGGAAAAAUAACGAAAGAAGAAUCCAUCAGGAACAAGAGGGCUCUCGCAGCUGCUUAGCAGCUACGCUCGGGCCCUAACUAGGGCCCCGUUGGGGCACUGGCGGGCCCGAGCUGUGUCGCGCCGCCCCCAACACGACCGCCUCUCCCUCCCGAUCGCGUCACACUCAAGGUCCAAAGAUGGUGUGCACACUUGUCUGUGGUCAUUUACCAUUAUAAUGAAUGGGAGGCGCAGUUUCUACCAAAACGCUCGCUGCAGACAAACUGUCCUAUUUGAAAAAAGUCUGGACCAUGAGUGAGGGCACAAACACAGCUAGGAUAUAUCCAAAUGGCAAGUUUCUCCUCCUUUCGGUUUUGCCGAGAGAGCGAUGUGUUUGAGCCGUUGAGCGAUGGGUAGGAAAAACUUGACUUUUUCUCCUGCCAUGGGGGGGCACUCUUUUAGGGAGUAAAAAUUCCUUCACAAAUGUGUUGAUGGCUGGACAUUGCAUCAUCCUAGAAAACUUGGAGGCCAGUGAGGACAAAAAUAAAAAGUUAUAAGACUUUUAAAUAUGUGGAUUUUAGGGUUAUCUUUGGCGCCCCCUAGAACCUAAACCGUGGGGUGCAGCGUCAUGAUUUGAAUAACUUUUAAUGGCCAUGGGGUGUAGAUUGGCCUGAGCAAAUGUGGUGCCGGUGGAACAAAAGCCUUCGGAGGAGUUAGCGAAAUUCCAAUGUGUACGGAUCGCCAAAAAAUGCGAAAUAGCCCUUUAACCGUACAUUUGACAGAUACGCCCGCAUUGACUUUUUCGUAGAUAUUAUUGAGAUACACCUGUGUGCCAAAUUUUGUGUCAUUUUGACAAAGUGUAGAGGCGUGACACUCAACAAUGUGUAUUUUCACCUUAGGGGACAAGAAAAAAUGGACUUUUUUCUCCUGCCAUGGGGGGGCGCUCUUUUGGGGAGUAAAAAUUCCUUCACAAAUGUGUUGAUGGCUGGACAUUGCAUCAUCCUAGAAAACUUGGAGGCCAGUGAGGACAAAAAUAAAAAGUUAUAAGACUUUUAAAUAUGUGGAUUUUCGGGUUAUCUUUGGCGCCCCCUAGAACCUAAACCGUGGGGUGCAGCGUCAUGAUUUGAAUAACUUUUAAUGGCCAUGGGGUGUAGAUUGGCCUGAGCAAAUGUGGUGCCGGUGGAACAAAAGCCUUCGGAGGAGUUAGCGAAAUUCCAAUGUGUACGGAUCGCCAAAAAAUGCGAAAUAGCCCUUUAACCGUACAUUUGACAGAUACGCCGGCAUUGACUUUUUCGUAGAUCUUAUUGAGACACACCUGUGUGCCAAAUUUUGUGUCAUUUUGACAAAGUGUAGAGGCGUGACACUCAACAAUGUGUAUUUUCACCUUAGGGGACAAGAAAAAAUGGACUUUUUUCUCCUGCCAUGGGGGGGCGCUCUUUUGGGGAGUAAAAAUUCCUUCACAAAUGUGUUGAUGGCUGGACAUUGCAUCAUCCUAGAAAACUUGGAGGCCAGUGAGGACAAAAAUAAAAAGUUAUAAGACUUUUAAAUAUGUGGAUUUUUGGGUUAUCUUUGGCGCCCCCUAGAACCUAAACCGUGGGGUGCAGCGUCAUGAUUUGAAUAACUUUUAAUGGCCAUGGGGUGUAGAUUGGCCUGAGCAAAUGUGGUGCCGGUGGAACAAAAGCCUUCGGAGGAGUUAGCGAAAUUCCAAUGUGUACGGAUCGCCAAAAAAUGCGAAAUAGCCCUUUAACCGUACAUUUGACAGAUACGCCCGCAUUGACUUUUUCGUAGAUCUUAUUGAGACACACCUGUGUGCCAAAUUUUGUGUCAUUUUGACAAAGUGUAGAGGCGUGACACUCAACAAUGUGUAUUUUCACCUUAGGGGACAAGUAAAAAUGGACUUUUUUCUCCUGCCAUGGGGGGGCGCUCUUUUGGGGAGAAAAAAUUCCUUCACAAAUGUGUUGAUGGCUGGACAUUGCAUCAUCCUAGAAAACUUGGAGGCCAGUGAGGACAAAAAUAAAAAGUUAUAAGACUUUGAAAUAUGUGGAUUUUCGGGUUAUCUUUGGCGCCCCCUAGAACCUAAACCGUGGGGUGCAGCGUCAUGAUUUGAAUAACUUUUAAUGGCCAUGGGGUGUAGAUUGGCCUGAGCAAAUGUGGUGCCGGUGGAACAAAAGCCUUCGGAGGAGUUAGCGAAAUUCCAAUGUGUACGGAUCGCCAAAAAAUGCGAAAUAGCCCUUUAACCGUACAUUUGACAGAUACGCCGGCAUUGACUUUUUCGUAGAUCUUAUUGAGACACACCUGUGUGCCAAAUUUUGUGUCAUUUUGACAAAGUGUAGAGGCGUGACACUCAACAAUGUGUAUUUUCACCUUAGGGGACAAGAAAAAAUGGACUUUUUUCUCCUGCCAUGGGGGGGCGCUCUUUUGGGGAGUAAAAAUUCCUUCACAAAUGUGUUGAUGGCUGGACAUUGCAACAUCCUAGAAAACUUGGAGGCCAGUGAGGACAAAAAUAAAAAGUUAUAAGACUUUGAAAUAUGUGGAUUUUAGGGUUAUCUUUGGCGCCCCCUAGAACCUAAACCGUGGGGUGCAGCGUCAUGAUUUGAAUAACUUUUAAUGGCCAUGGGGUGUAGAUUGGCCUGAGCAAAUGUGGUGCCGGUGGAACAAAAGCCUUCGGAGGAGUAAGCGAAAUUCCAAUGUGUACGGAUCGCCAAAAAAUGCGAAAUAGCCCUUUAACCGUACAUUUGACAGAUACGCCCGCACUGACUUUUUUGUAGAUCUUAUUGAGAUACAUGUGUGUGUCAAAUUUUGUGUCAAUAUGACAAAGCGUACAGGCGUGACACUCAACAAUGUGUAUUUUCACCUUAGGGGACAGGAAAAAAUGGACUUUUUUCUCCUGCCAUGGGGGGGCGCUCUUUUGGGGAUUAAAAAUUCCUUCACAAAUGUGUUGAUGGCUGGACAUUGCAUCAUCCUAGAAAACUUGGAGGCCAGUGAGGGCAAAAAUAAAAAGUUAUAAGACUUUUAAAUAUGUGGAUUUUAGGGUUAUCUUUGGCGCCCCCUAGAACCUAAACCGUGGGGUGCAGCAUCAUGAUUUGAAUAACUUUUAAUGGCCAUGGGGUGUAGAUUGGCCUGAGCAAAUGUGGUGCCGGUGGAACGAAAGCCUUCGGAGGAGUUAGCGAAAUUCCAAUGUGUGCGGAUCGGCAAAAAAUGCGGAAUAACCCU